rnacentral:lncRNA from 1 species
CCCAAGCCACUGCAGCAGCUGCUCCCUUCCUGCCCAACAUCUUGGGCUGGUGCCACCCAGGAGUGGUGGCCUGGUGUGAUGGGCACCAAGAGCCCUGUCCCAGGAAGGGGCUUGCCACCCCACCCCAGCACCCUCAGCCUCUGUCCAGAACCUUGUCCUGGACCAGAACCACCUGCCUCCUGGGUGUGGCUGACACUCAGACAGUCCUGCUCCAUUUCUAUGAAGAUCAGAAGCAGCGACCUGAAGCAACCUCCUGCCGAGCCCAGACUGCCUGCCGCCUGCCUGUAGGAUUAACGUGCAUGUAUGGAAGUCAGCAAAGCCCGCCAUCUCCAUGGCAAUCACUGGUGACACCUCUCCUGGAGGAUUCCAAAGGCAGCUCCCACCCCAAGCGCUGGCCAGGCGCCCCAGCCCUCCCCUCAGAUUUUCUACCUAGAGAGACUCCCUG